AAUAAUAAAAAGGAGCAAGGAUUAGCUAAAUCAAGAGCAGCAAUUAGCAAUUAAAAAAGCAGCUUCUAAUUUGCCGUUUGUUCCCGCCGCCAGCCGUUACCGUCUGCCGCCAUUCCUUCUCCGCCUGCCCUCAUUUCAAGUGAGGAAGGAGAUACAGAAGAACCGUAUAAUGGGAUAGCAACUCCUGAACAACUUCGCAUUUCGGCUGAUUUGGAACGAGUGUACGAUGAGACAAUUCGUGAUGGAAGCGACGAAAGCACGGCCAACUCAAUUGCGAUAGAAAAAGUGCUCGGGAAAAGCAAAGGGCUUGGAAUUAAGAUUGCAACCACCACAAAGAGUUCAAAGUCGAGAUUUUCUUCAAUUCCGCCGGAAGUGCAAAUGGAAAUGAAUUCAAUGAAAGAGCAAAUGCUACUUAAAGAUGAAAAAAUGGAAAGAUUGGAAGCGGAAUUGAAAGAAACCCGAGAAAUUGUGAACACCUUGGUCGGCCGUUUUGGACUACAAGCCUCGACAUCGACUCCUUCCAAUGAUGGUGGAGUAUAAAAAAGGGAUGAACUUUGUUUGGUUUUUGAAUUAAACUUUGCAACACUACAUUAUAUGCUUUUAAGUUUUAUGUACUUUUUUAAUUUAUGUUUUGUGCUACAUUGAUAUUUAAUCCGUAUAAUUGGUUUUAAUAUUUUCGAUA